rnacentral:miRNA from 1 species
UCAGCUCCCAGGUGUGUCCUCGGCC